AAACUAAAAGCUAUUCACAGAAUUACUCAAAGAAAGACCAACAUGAGACAAUAUUGAAUCAACUACGGAGUUUCCUUGUAAGAAGUUCUCAAAUGAAGUGAACUCAUUUCUGUGUUAACUUUGACUCGAUGCCUCUUUUACCUCCCCAGAGUUUGUGCAGAGUGACGCUGCAGAGUGCUUGGAGAACAUUCUGAGCAAUGUGUCCACUCCUGAAGCUUCACAGUUGUUCCAGGGACGGCUGACACAAAAGAACAAAUGUUGCAAAUGUAAAACAGAGACAAACACUGAUGAUCCGUUUUGGAAUCUACCUCUUGAACUGGUGGAUAAUCGUGGAGACUACAGUGUGCUGAAUGGCAUUACCAAGUACUUCAGUGAGUCUGAGGUCAGCGGGCCCGACCAGUUGUACUGCGACUCUUGUGAAGCCAAAACCGAUUCUACCAUUAAAUGUGAAAUAAGGCAUCACCCAGAUGUUUUGACACUGCUGCUGAAGAGAUUUAAGUUUGACUACAGUUACAGGGAUUACAUGAAAAUCCAACGCAGUGUGGCGAUUCCCUACUUACUGGAGAUACCAGCAGAUGAACCCAAGGUACACUGGAUACUUUAUUAUCACUCAUUGUUUUCAUACUUCUGUAGCUGAUUUCUGUCAAAUUUGUCCAUCAGAGUCAGACGUAUGAGCUGUACGCAAUUGUGAAUCACCAUGGUAAUCUGAGAAAUGGACAUUACACAGUAACAAUCAAGUCUCAGGAUGAUGAAAAAUGGUAUGACUUCAAUGACAGAUGGGUCACUUUGGUAAGAAUUUACUGUUUUUGUUCAGAAGAAUAUCAAAACUGAGAAAAGUUAUUUCUUAUGAACACAUGACUGUUGUUUUCAUACACAGCGCUCCUAUGAGCCU